GGUAGAAGAGCAGGGAGAAAUACUUUGAAUGAGUAUGUAGUUCCAUUCACAGUUGAGUAGGUGGUCCUUAAUUUGGCCCAGGACACAUAUGCAUGCACACUGCUACAAGAAUGUGCCCAUAUGUG